rnacentral:rRNA from 1 species
UAGGGAAUCUUCGGCAAUGGGGGGAACCCUGACCGAGCAACGCCGCGUGAGUGAAGAAGGUUUUCGGAUCGUAAAGCUCUGUUGUUAAGGAAGAACGAGUGUGAGAAUGGAAAGUUCAUACUGUGACGGUACUUAACCAGAAAGGGACGGCUAACUACGUGCCAGCAGCCGCGGUAAUACGUAGGUGGCAAGCGUUAUCCGGAAUUAUUGGGCGUAAAGUGCGCGUAGGCGGUUUUUUAAGUCUGAUGUGAAAGCCCCCGGCUCAACCGGGGAGGGUCAUUGGAAACUGGUUGACUUGAGUGCAGAAGAGGAGAGUGGAAUUCCAUGUGUAGCGGUGAAAUGCGUAGAUAUAUGGAGGAACACCAGUGGCGAAGGCGACUCUCUGGUCUGUAACUGACGCUGAGGUUCGAAAGCGUGGGUAGCAAACAGG